UACACUCCUACGGGAGGCAGCAGUGGGGAAUUUUGGACAAUGGGCGAAAGCCUGAUCCAGCAAUGCCGCGUGAGUGAAGAAGGCCUUCGGGUUGUAAAGCUCUUUUGUCAGGGAAGAAACGGUGAGAGCUAAUAUCUCUUGCUAAUGACGGUACCUGAAGAAUAAGCACCGGCUAACUACGUGCCAGCAGCCGCGGUAAUACGUAGGGUGCAAGCGUUAAUCGGAAUUACUGGGCGUCAAGCGUGCGCAGGCGGUUUUGUAAGUCUGAUGUGAAAUCCCCGGGCUCAACCUGGGAAUUGCAUUGGAGACUGCAAGGCUAGAAUCUGGCAGAGGGGGGUAGAAUUCCACGUGUAGCAGUGAAAUGCGUAGAUAUGUGGAGGAACACCGAUGGCGAAGGCAGCCCCCUGGGUCAAGAUUGACGCUCAUGCACGAAAGCGUGGGGAGCAAACAGGAUUAGAAACCCUUGUAGUCCCAUGAU
rnacentral:rRNA from 1 species